rnacentral:rRNA from 1 species
CCUACGUGUGGCUGCAGUGGGGAAUAUUGCACAAUGGGGGAAACCCUGAUGCAGCGACGCCGCGUGAGCGAUGAAGUAUUUCGGUAUGUAAAGCUCUAUCAGCAGGGAAGAAGAUGACGGUACCUGACUAAGAAGCCCCGGCUAACUACGUGCCAGCAGCCGCGGUAAUACGGAGGGGGCAAGCGUUAUCCGGAUUUACUGGGUGUAAAGGGAGCGUAGACGGCGAUGCAAGCCAGAUGUGAAAGCCCGGGGCUCACCCCCGGGACUGCAUUUGGAACUGUGUGGUUGGAGUGUCGGAGAGGCAGUCUGAAUUCCUAUUGUAGCGGUGCAAUGCGUAGAUAUUAGGAGGAACACCAGUGGCGAAGGCGGCCUGCUGGACGAUGACUGACGUUGAGGCUCGAAAGCGUGGGGAGCAACCAGGAUUAGAUCCCCCGGUAGUC